UACGUAGGCAGCAAGCGUUGUUCGGAGUUACUGGGCGUAAAGAGUGCGUAGGUGGUGCCCUAAGUCUGUUGUGAAAUCUCCCGGCUUAACUGGGAGGGUGCGGUGGAAACUGGGGUGCUUGAGUGUGGGAGAGGUAAGCGGAAUUCCUGGUGUAGCGGUGAAAUGCGUAGAUAUCAGGAGGAACACCAAUUGCGAAGGCAGCUCGCUGGGACGUUACUGACGCUGAGACGCGAAAGCGUGGGGAGCAAACAGG
rnacentral:rRNA from 1 species